rnacentral:rRNA from 1 species
AACGAGCGCUGGCGGCAUGCCUAACACAUGCAAGUCGAACGGAACCUUCGGGUCUAGUGGCGCACGUGUGCGUACCGCGUGGUAACCUGCCCUUAGGUUCGGUAUCCCUCCCCGAAAGGGGUGCUAAUACCGGAUAAUCUCUUCGCACCAAAGAUUUAUCGCCUUUGGGUGGGCCCGCGUUGGAUUCGCUGGUUGGUAGGGUACAAGCCUACCAAGGCGACGAUGCAUAGCUGGGCGGAGAGGAUGAUCAGCCACACUGGGAAUGAGACACGGCCCAGACUCCUACGGGAGGGAGCAGAGGGGAACAUAAGACAAGGGGGGAAAGCCUAAUCAAGCAACGCGGGGGGAGAGAGGAAGGGCGUAGGGUUGUAAAGCUCUCUUAGCCGGGAUGAGAAUGACAGUACCGGGAGAAGAAGCACCGGCUAACUCCGUG